AUUGGACGCUGGCGGCAUGCCUUACACAUGCAAGUCGAACGGUAACAGGUCUUCGGACGCUGACGAGUGGCGAACGGGUGAGUAAUGCAUCGGAACGUGCCCAGGCGUGGGGGAUAACUGCUCGAAAGAGCAGCUAAUACCGCAUACGACCUGAGGGUGAAAGCGGGGGACCGUAAGGCCUCGCGCGAUUGGAGCGGCCGAUGUCAGAUUAGCUAGUUGGUGGGGUAAAGGCCUACCAAGGCAACGAUCUGUAGUUGGUCUGAGAGGACGACCAGCCACACUGGGACUGAGACACGGCCCAGACUCCUACGGGAGGCAGCAGUGGGGAAUUUUGGACAAUGGGCGCAAGCCUGAUCCAGCAAUGCCGCGUGCAGGAAGAAGGCCUUCGGGUUGUAAACUGCUUUUGUCAGGGAAGAAAUCUUCUGGGCUAAUACCCCGGGAGGAUGACGGUACCUGAAGAAUAAGCACCGGCUAACUACGUG
rnacentral:rRNA from 1 species